rnacentral:rRNA from 1 species
GACGUAGGGCGCGAGCGUUGUCCGGAUUUAUUGGGCGUAAAGAGCUCGUAGGCGGCUUGUCGCGUCGACCGUGAAAACCCGUGGCUCAACUGCGGGCUUGCGGUCGAUACGGGCGGGCUAGAGUUCGGUAGGGGAGACUGGAAUUCCUGGUGUAGCGGUGAAAUGCGCAGAUAUCAGGAGGAACACCGGUGGCGAAGGCGGGUCUCUGGGCCGAUACUGACGCUGAGGAGCGAAAGCGUGGGGAGCGAACAGG